rnacentral:lncRNA from 1 species
CAUUUUAUUCUUUCCAUUUUCUUUUCCAUUAUUCAUCUCUUUCUUCUUCUUCUUUUUCUUUUUUGAGCAAUGAGUUGAAGGUUGAUAAGUUAGCAUUGAUUAGGGAGACUUAAUCUUCCUUGAUCCAAAUCUAAUUCAUCUUGAUCAAUUGAUCAAGUGAAUGGCUUUGCAUUAAGGAUAGGUUGUUUCCUAAAUAUAGGGAGACUUAAUCUUCCUUGAUCCAAAUCUAAUUCAUCUUGAUCAAUUGAUCAAGUGAAUGGCUUUGCAUUAAGGAUAGGUUGUUUCCUAAAUCAUGCAAAAGACUUAAACCAAUACAAGAUCAACUCUCUUCUUCUUUUUGGCAUGGCAAGUUGUUGGAACUUGGUUCACUAAUCAAGACUUCUAACUUGUGUUGUUGCCUAUAUUAUUAUUGAACGGCCUCAGAUAGUUGUGACUUCUACAUAAG